CCUACGGGAGGCAGCAGUGGGGGAUAUUGCACAAUGGGGGAAACCCUGAUGCAGCGACGCCGCGUGUGGGAAGACGGUCCUCUGGAUUGUAAACCACUGUCCCCAGGGACGAAGAUGACGGUACCUGGGGAGGAAGCUCCGGCUAACUACGUGCCAGCAGCGCCGGGAAUACGUAGGGAGCGAGCGUUGUCCGGAAUUACUGGGUGUAAAGGGAGCGUAGGCGGGACUGCAAGUUGGGUGUCAAAUCUACCGGCUCAACCGGUAGCCGCACUCAAACCUGCAGUGCUUGAGUGAAGUAGAGGCAGGCGGAAUGCCUAGUGUAGCGGUGAAAUGCGUAGAUAUUAGGAGGAACACCAGUGGCGAAGGCGGCCUGCUGGGCUUUUACUGACGCUGAGGCUCGAAAGUGUGGGGAGCAAACAGGAUUAGAUACCCCUGUAGUC
rnacentral:rRNA from 1 species